CUUAAGGAAUUGACGGUCCCGCACAAGCAGCGGAGCGUGUGGUUUAAUUCGUUGCUACACGAAGAACCUUACCUGGGUUUGACAUAGCAGUGGUAGGGAAGCGAAAGCGGACCGACCUUCGGGGAGCUGUUACAGGUGUUGCAUGGCUGUCGUCAGCUCGUGUCGUGAGAUGUUCGGUUAAGUCCGCUAACGAGCGCAACCCGCGUUGUGUGUUACAAGUGUCACACAAUACCGCCGGUAUUAAGUCGGAGGAAGGUACGGAUGACGUCAAGUCAGCAUGACCUUUAUAUCCAGGGCUACACACACGCUACAAUGGUCAGCACAAUAGGUUGCCAAGUCGUGAGACGGAGCCAAUCCUCCAAAGCUGGCCUCAGUUCAGAUUGUAGGCUGCAACCCGCCUGCAUGAAGUUGGAUUUGCUAGUAAUCGUAGAUCAGCAAUGCUACGGUGAAUACGUUCUCGGGUCUU
rnacentral:rRNA from 1 species